GAUGAACGCUGGCGGCGUGCCUAAUACAUGCAAGUCGAGCGAACAGACGAGGAGCUUGCUCCUCUGACGUUAGCGGCGGACGGGUGAGUAACACGUGUAUAACCUACCUAUAAGUCUGGGAUAACUUCGGGAAGCCGGAGCUAAUACCGGAUAAUAUAUUGAACCGCAUGGUUCAAUAGUGAAAGACGGUUUUGCUGUCACUUAUAGAUGGAUCCGCGCCGCAUUAGCUAGUUGGUAAGGUAACGGCUUAUCAAGGCGACGAUGCGUAGCCGAGCUGAGAGGGUGAUAGGCCACCCUGGAACUGAGCCACGGUCCAGACUCCUACGGGAGGCAGCAGUAGGGAAUCUUCGGCAAUGGGCGAAAGCCUGACGGAGCAACGCCGCGUGAGUGAUGAAGGUCUUCGGAUCGUAAAACUCUGUUAUUAGGGAAGAACAAAUGUGUAAGUAACUAUGCACGUCUUGACGGUACCUAAUCAGAAAGCCACGGCUAACUACGUG
rnacentral:rRNA from 1 species